UACGAAGGGGGCUAGCGUUGCUCGGAAUCACUGGGCGUAAAGCGCACGUAGGCGGAUUGUUAAGUCAGGGGUGAAAUCCUGGAGCUCAACUCCAGAACUGCCUUUGAUACUGGCGAUCUUGAGUCCGGGAGAGGUGAGUGGAACUGCGAGUGUAGAGGUGAAAUUCGUAGAUAUUCGCAAGAACACCAGUGGCGAAGGCGGCUCACUGGCCCGGUACUGACGCUGAGGUGCGAAAGCGUGGGAAGCAAACAGG
rnacentral:rRNA from 1 species